rnacentral:rRNA from 1 species
GACGAACGCUGGCGGCGUGCUUAACACAUGCAAGUCGAACGGAAAGGCCCUGCUUUUGUGGGGUGCUCGAGUGGCGAACGGGUGAGUAACACGUGAGUAACCUGCCCUUGACUUUGGGAUAACUUCAGGUAACUGGGGCUAAUACCGGAUAGGAGCUCCUGCUGCAUGGUGGGGGUUGGAAAGUUUCGGCGGUUGGGGAUGGACUCGCGGCUUAUCAGCUUGUUGGUGGGGUAGUGGCUUACCAAGGCUUUGACGGGUACCCGGCCUGAGAGGGUGACCGGCCACAUGGGUACUGAGGUACGGCUCGGAACCCUCCGGGGAGCAGCAGUGGAGAAGAGUGCAAAAUGGGCGGACGCCUGAUGCAGCAACGCCGCGUGCGGGAGGACGGCCUUCGGUUUGUAUACCGCUUUCGCCUGUGACGAAGCGUGAGUGACGGUAAUGGGUAAAGAAGCACCGGCUCACUACGUG